GGGGCGGCAGGGGUCUGGUGGCCCAUCCGGUCUUCAAAACCGGCAGGGCGUGGCAGCCCCACGCUUGGAUGGUUCGAUUCCAUCGCCGCUCC
rnacentral:tRNA from 1 species